AACGAACGCUGGCGGCAUGCCUAACACAUGCAAGUCGAACGAGACCUUCGGGUCUAGUUGCGCACGGGUGCGUAACGCGUGGGAACCUGCCCUUAGGUUCGGAAUCACUCCCCGUAAGGGGUGCUAAUACCGGUUAAUGUCUUCGGGCCAAAGAUUUAUCGCCUUUGGAUGGGCCCGCGUUGGAUUAGCCGGUUGGUAGGGUAAAAGCCUACCAAGGCGACGAUCCAUAGCUGGUCGGUGAGGAUGAUCAGCCACACUGGGGCUGAGACACGGCCCAGACUGCUACGGGAGGCAGCAGUGGGGUAUAUUGGAGGAUGGGCGAAAGCCUGAUCCAGCAAUGCCGCGUGAGUGAUGAAGGCCUUAGGGUUGUAAAGCUGUCUUACCCGGGAUGAUAAUGACAGUACCGGGAGAAUAAGCACCGGCUAACUCCGUG
rnacentral:rRNA from 1 species